rnacentral:tRNA from 1 species
GGGAAGUUGGCUCAAUGGUAGAGUGCUUGCCUCAUAUGCAUGAGGCCCUGGGUUUGAUUCCUCAGUACCA